GACGAACGCUGGCGGCGUGCUUAACACAUGCAAGUCGAACGGAAAGGCCCCUUUGGGGUUGCUGGAGUGGCGAACGGGUGAAUAACACGUGAGUAACCUGCCCUUCACUUCGGGAUAACUUCAGGAAACUGGGGCUAAUACCGGAUAGGAAUGCUUGCUGCAGGGUGGGGGGUGGAAAGCUUCGGCGGUUUUGGAUGGACUCGCGGCAUAUCAGCUUGUUCGUGGGGUAGUGGCUUACCAAGGCUUUGACGGGUAGCCGGCCGGAGAGGGCGACCGGCCACAUUGGGACUGAGAGACGGCCCAGACUCCUACGGGAGGCAGGAGGGGGGAAUAUUGCACAAGGGGCGGAAGACUGAUGCAGCAAGGCCGCGUGCGGGAUGACGGCCUUCGGGUUGUAAACCGCUUUCUGCAGGGGCGAAGCUUGUGGUGACGGUACCUGGAGAAGAAGCACCGGCUAACUACGUG
rnacentral:rRNA from 1 species